rfam:Aspergillus zonatus CBS 506.65 unplaced genomic scaffold ASPZOscaffold_3, whole genome shotgun sequence.
GGUCCCAUAACUCAGUUGGUUAGAGUGUGGUGCUAAUAACGCCAAAGUCGUGGGUUCGACCCCCACUGGGACCA